rnacentral:rRNA from 1 species
GACGAACACUGGCGGCGUGCUUAACACAUGCAAGUCGAACGGAAAGGCCCUGCUUUUGUGGGGUGCUCGAGUGGCGAACGGGUGAGUAACACGUGAGUAACCUGCCCUUGACUUUGGGAUAACUUCAGGAAACUGGGGCUAAUACCGGAUAGGAGCUCCUGCUGCAUGGUGGGGGUUGGAAAGUUUCGGCGGUUGGGGAUGGACUCGCGGCUUAUCAGCUUGUUGGUGGGGUAGUGGCUUACCAAGGCUUUGACGGGUAGCCGGCCUGAGAGGGUGACCGGCCACAUUGGGACUGAGAUACGGCCCAGACUCCUACGGGAGGCAGCAGUGGGGAAUAUUGCACAAUGGGCGGAAGCCUGAUGCAGCAACGCCGCGUGCGGGAUGACGGCCUUCGGGUUGUAAACCGCUUUCGCCUGUGACGAAGCGUGAGUGACGGUAAUGGGGAAAGAAGCACCGGCUAACUACGU